AAUCAACGCUGGCGGCGUGCCUCAGACAUGCGAGUCGAACGCGAAAGUUUCCUUCGGGAAACAAGUAGAGUGGCGCACGGGUGAGUAACACGUAGGUAAUCUACCUUCGGAUGGGGAAUAACAACCGGAAACGGUUACUAAUACCGCAUAAUGCAGCGGCACCUAAUGGUGACAGUUGCUAAAGCGGGGGAUCGAAAGACCUCGCGUCUGAAGAGGAGCCUGCGGCGGAUUAGCUAGUUGGUAAGGUAACGGCUUACCAAGGCGACGAUCCGUAGCCGGCCUGAGAGGGCGGUCGGCCACACUGACACUGACAUACGGGUCAGACUCCUACGGGAGGCAGCAGUCGAGAAUUUUUGGGCAAUGGGCGAAAGCCUGACCCAGCAACGCCGCGUGAAGGGAUGAAAUCCCUCGGGAUGUAAACUUCGCAAGAACGGGAAGAAUAAGUAGGGGACAAUACCUCCUAUGAUGACGGGUACCGUUUGU
rnacentral:rRNA from 1 species